UACGAAGGGGGCUAGCGUUGCUCGGAAUUACUGGGCGUAAAGGGCGCGUAGGCGGAUGCUUAAGUUAGAGGUGAAAGCCCAGGGCUCAACCUUGGAAUUGCCUUUGAUACUGGGCAUCUUGAGUAUGGGAGAGGUGAGUGGAACUCCGAGUGUAGAGGUGAAAUUCGUAGAUAUUCGGAAGAACACCAGUGGCGAAGGCGACUCACUGGCCCAUUACUGACGCUGAGGCGCGAAAGCGUGGGGAGCAAACAGG
rnacentral:rRNA from 1 species